rnacentral:rRNA from 1 species
UACGGAGGGGGCUAGCGUUGUUCGGAAUUACUGGGCGUAAAGCGCACGUAGGCGGCUUUGUAAGUCAGAGGUGAAAUCCCGGGGCUCAACUCCGGAACUGCCUUUGAGACUGCAUCGCUUGAAUCCAGGAGAGGUGAGUGGAAUUCCGAGUGUAGAGGUGAAAUGCGCAGAUAUCAGGAGGAACACCGAUGGCGAAGGCAGCUCGCUGGGACGGUACUGAUGCUGAGGCGCGAAAGCGUGGGGAGCAAACAGG